AGAGUUUGAUCAUGGCUCAGAUUGAACGCUGGCGGCAGGCCUAACACAUGCAAGUCGAGCGGUAGCACAGAGAGCUUGCUCUCGGGUGACGAGCGGCGGACGGGUGAGUAAUGUCUGGGAAACUGCCUGAUGGAGGGGGAUAACUACUGGAAACGGUAGCUAAUACCGCAUAACGUCGCAAGACCAAAGUGGGGGACCUUCGGGCCUCAUGCCAUCAGAUGUGCCCAGAUGGGAUUAGCUAGUAGGUGGGGUAACGGCUCACCUAGGCGACGAUCCCUAGCUGGUCUGAGAGGAUGACCAGCCACACUGGAACUGAGACACGGUCCAGACUCCUACGGGAGGCAGCAGUGGGGAAUAUUGCACAAUGGGCGCAAGCCUGAUGCAGCCAUGCCGCGUGUAUGAAGAAGGCCUUCGGGUUGUAAAGUACUUUCAGCGGGGAGGAAGGCGAUAAGGUUAAUAACCUUGUCGAUUGACGUUACCCGCAGAAGAAGCACCGGCUAACUCCGUGCCAGCAGCCGCGGUAAUACGGAGGGUGCAAGCGUUAAUCGGAAUUACUGGGCGUAAAGCGCACGCAGGCGGUCUGUCAAGUCGGAUGUGAAAUCCCCGGGCUCAACCUGGGAACUGCAUUCGAAACUGGCAGGCUAGAGUCUUGUAGAGGGGGGUAGAAUUCCAGGUGUAGCGGUGAAAUGCGUAGAGAUCUGGAGGAAUACCGGUGGCGAAGGCGGCCCCCUGGACAAAGACUGACGCUCAGGUGCGAAAGCGUGGGGAGCAAACAGGAUUAGAUACCCUGGUAGUCCACGCCGUAAACGAUGUCGAUUUGGAGGUUGUGCCCUUGAGGCGUGGCUUCCGGAGCUAACGCGUUAAAUCGACCGCCUGGGGAGUACGGCCGCAAGGUUAAAACUCAAAUGAAUUGACGGGGGCCCGCACAAGCGGUGGAGCAUGUGGUUUAAUUCGAUGCAACGCGAAGAACCUUACCUGGUCUUGACAUCCACAGAACUUAGCAGAGAUGCUUUGGUGCCUUCGGGAACUGUGAGACAGGUGCUGCAUGGCUGUCGUCAGCUCGUGUUGUGAAAUGUUGGGUUAAGUCCCGCAACGAGCGCAACCCUUAUCCUUUGUUGCCAGCGGUUCGGCCGGGAACUCAAAGGAGACUGCCAGUGAUAAACUGGAGGAAGGUGGGGAUGACGUCAAGUCAUCAUGGCCCUUACGACCAGGGCUACACACGUGCUACAAUGGCGCAUACAAAGAGAAGCGACCUCGCGAGAGCAAGCGGACCUCAUAAAGUGCGUCGUAGUCCGGAUUGGAGUCUGCAACUCGACUCCAUGAAGUCGGAAUCGCUAGUAAUCGUAGAUCAGAAUGCUACGGUGAAUACGUUCCCGGGCCUUGUACACACCGCCCGUCACACCAUGGGAGUGGGUUGCAAAAGAAGUAGGUAGCUUAACCUUCGGGAGGGCGCUUACCACUUUGUGAUUCAUGACUGGGGUGAAGUCGUAACAAGGUAACCGUAGGGGAACCUGCGGUUG
rnacentral:rRNA from 1 species